CCUCUGGUGGCCUUCCUCCCCAGCAGGAUGGUGUUGCUCCCUGAUAUCCCAGUCUCCAGUGGAUUUUCUUGGCUCUCUGGUGACUUUGGUUUUCCCUCUGAAAGAGUGGUGCCGGAUGGUUGAUUCCCGGACCUGUGUGUUGAGCAUGUCUGUUUGUCAGCAUUCAUCAUACAUUUUUUUAGAUAUAAUGCAUACAUGCAUAAUCAUAGCAUUCGGAUACUCAUGAUGCAGCUGUUGCCGUGUAUCUGUUGAUGGUUGUCUCCUGCUAUUUGUUGAUACAGAUCUCUCUAGUAGAUCCUCCUCUAGCAGAAGUGGGUGAGUCUGAUCUCUCCAUGUAGAGUCUACCCCUUAAGCAGAAAGUGUCUACCAUUUC
rnacentral:lncRNA from 1 species